GACGAACGCUGGUGGCGUGCUUAACACAUGCAAGUCGAACGGAAAGGCCCUGCUUUUGUGGGGUGCUCGAGUGGCGAACGGGUGAGUAACACGUGAGUAACCUGCCCUUGACUUUGGGAUAACUUCAGGAAACUGGGGCUAAUACCGGAUAGGAGCUCCUGCUGCAUGGUGGGGGUUGGAAAGUUUCGGCGGUUGGGGAUGGACUCGCGGCUUAUCAGCUUGUUGGUGGGGUAGUGGCUUACCAAGGCUUUGACGGGUAGCCGGCCUGAGAGGGUGACCGGCCACAUUGGGACUGAGAUACGGCCCAGACUCCUACGGGAGGCAGCAGUGGGGAAUAUUGCACAAUGGGCGGAAGCCUGAUGCAGCAACGCCGCGUGCGGGAUGACGGCCUUCGGGUUGUAAACCGCUUUCGCCUGUGACGAAGCGUGAGUGACGGUAAUGGGUAAAGAAGCACCGGCUAACUACGUGCCAGCAGCCGCGGUGAUACGUAGGGUGCGAGCGUUGUCCGGAUUUAUUGGGCGUAAAGGGCUCGUAGGUGGUUGAUCGCGUCGGAAGUGUAAUCUUGGGGCUUAACCCUGAGCGUGCUUUCGAUACGGGUUGACUUGAGGAAGGUAGGGGAGAAUGGAAUUCCUGGUGGAGCGGUGGAAUGCGCAGAUAUCAGGAGGAACACCAGUGGCGAAGGCGGUUCUCUGGGCCUUUCCUGACGCUGAGGAGCGAAAGCGUGGGGAGCGAACAGGCUUAGAUACCCUGGUAGUCCACGCUGUAAACGGUGGGUACUAGGCGUGGGGUCCAUUCCACGGGUUCCGUGCCGUAGCUAACGCUUUAAGUACCCCGCCUGGGGAGUACGGCCGCAAGGCUAAAACUCAAAGGAAUUGACGGGGCCCCGCACAAGCGGCGGAGCAUGCGGAUUAAUUCGAUGCAACGCGUAGAACCUUACCUGGGUUUGACAUGGAUCGGGAGUGCUCAGAGAUGGGUGUGCCUCUUUUGGGGUCGGUUCACAGGUGGUGCAUGGCUGUCGUCAGCUCGUGUCGUGAGAUGUUGGGUUAAGUCCCGCAACGAGCGCAACCCUUGUUCACUGUUGCCAGCACGUUAUGGUGGGGACUCAGUGGAGACCGCCGGGGUCAACUCGGAGGAAGGUGGGGAUGACGUCAAGUCAUCAUGCCCCUUAUGUCCAGGGCUUCACGCAUGCUACAAUGGCUGGUACAGAGAGUGGCGAGCCUGUGAGGGUGAGCGAAUCUCGGAAAGCCGGUCUCAGUUCGGAUUGGGGUCUGCAACUCGACCUCAUGAAGUCGGAGUCGCUAGUAAUCGCAGAUCAGCAACGCUGCGGUGAAUACGUUCCCGGGGCU
rnacentral:rRNA from 1 species